rnacentral:misc_RNA from 1 species
UGACAGGAGAUCGACCAUAGACAAGUCCAUGUGCACUUCAAUUUCGAUCGAUCAUAUGUUUUCUUUGUGUAGUUUUUUCAGCCGCUGUAAUUCGAAUUGGUUAUAAAGUUCACGUGUUAAAUUGCCUGAAAACCCUCAAUAAUCGGCUCGUAGUGCAAUAUUGACGCUCGUAUGGUGUCUCUAGUGUGUGGAUAUAUAAAAUUUUGAGACAAAAUUACGUGGUGCAUAAUAGGUGCAUUUCUAUGUGCACGUGCUUGCAUUUUUCAGGCUAAUUGUAAAGUUUCAGAUUAAAAGUGCGUUGCAAGGUGACCUUAGAUUCAUAAGAGCUGUCCUAUUUAUGCAACCACCUCCGCCCGAGCCCAAUUUUUCGGUUUAUCCUAUAAAAAACGUGUGUACAACAGUGUAAAAUAAGUUUGAAAUCUUAGGUUGGAAAAUACUUUAGUGGUUUUAUUUCAACCCAGUGUCGUCAUGAAUCUCGCAUCCUGGAUUAGUAUUUCGUUGGAUGAAGUGUCUGUGAUAAAUACAACUAAAAUGAAAUACCACAUGUGCCAGUGUAAAAUAUGUGCAAAAAGUAAUUUUAUAGUGAACAAUUGUAACAAAAGUUGUGCAAACGACCAAUAUAAAACGUGAAAAUAAUUAUAAAAUAUUGAAAUGUGUGAAAGUCAACAGUUUUCCUAUUUGUGUUUAUAAAAAGUGCGCAUUGGAUGCAGUGUUCUUCGCUAGAUGGCGUUACUUGGAUUAUUGCUGAGCAAGUGAGAUACUUGUUUAGCCACUCCACGCUAGAUGGCGCUUUU